CCCUAUUAUCAAGAGGAAAUAAAAUUAGAGAGUAGGUGACGCCGAAAACAAUUUAGGGUGGCGGUUUUCUUUAUUGUCAGAUAAAUGUGUUUUUUAAAAACGAAAAUGCACGAACAUCUUUCUUACUCUUGAAAAUUCAUCCUGUACACCGCCGUCUGAAGGACCAACUUAAAAAGUUAAUCCUAUUUCUUUCAUGAGAAAUAAGUCAGGUAAGGUGCAGACUAUGGGUAAGAGAAAAUGCAUUUCUCUAAAAAGUUCAAGAAGAGAGUUGAAAAAAAUCUUUUAGAAGAAUUUGGCAGUAAGGUUUUUUAAUCAAAAAAAUCUGAACUAAUAACAAGAAAAUGUACACAUCGCCCG
rnacentral:rRNA from 1 species